rnacentral:rRNA from 1 species
UACGUAGGGCGCAAGCGUUGUCCGGAAUUAUUGGGCGUAAAGAGCUCGUAGGCGGUUUGUCGCGUCUGCUGUGAAAACCUAAGGCUCAACCUUGGGCUUGCAGUGGGUACGGGCAGACUAGAGUGUUGCAGGGGAGACUGGAAUUCCUGGUGUAGCGGUGAAAUGCGCAGAUAUCAGGAGGAACACCGGUGGCGAAGGCGGGUCUCUGGGCAACAACUGACGCUGAGGAGCGAAAGCGUGGGGAGCGAACAGG